rnacentral:rRNA from 1 species
CGAAUACCGGAGAAUGUUAUCACGGGAGACACACGGCGGGUGCUAACGUCCGUCGUGAAGAGGGAAACAACCCAGACCGCCAGCUAAGGUCCCAAAGUCAUGGUUAAGUGGGAAACGAUGUGGGAAGGCCCAGACAGCCAGGAUGUUGGCUUAGAAGCAGCCAUCAUUUAAAGAAAGCGUAAUAGCUCACUGGUCGAGUCGGCCUGCGCGGAAGAUGUAACGGGGCUAAACCAUGCACCGAAGCUGCGGCAGCGACGCUUAUGCGUUGUUGGGUAGGGGAGCGUUCUGUAAGCCUGUGAAGGUGUACUGUGAGGUAUGCUGGAGGUAUCAGAAGUGCGAAUGCUGACAUAAGUAACGAUAAAGCGGGUGAAAAGCCCGCUCGCCGGAAGACCAAGGGUUCCUGUCCAACGUUAAUCGGGGCAGGGUGAGUCGACCCCUAAGGCGAGGCCGAAAGGCGUAGUCGAUGGGAAACAGGUUAAUAUUCCUGUACUUGGUGUUACUGCGAAGGGGGGACGGAGAAGGCUAUGUUGGCCGGGCGACGGUUGUCCCGGUUUAAGCGUGUAGGCUGGUUUUCCAGGCAAAUCCGGAAAAUCAAGGCUGAGGCGUGAUGACGAGGCACUACGGUGCUGAAGCAACAAAUGCCCUGCUUCCAGGAAAAGCCUCUAAGCAUCAGGUAACAUCAAAUCGUACCCCAAACCGACACAGGUGGUCAGGUAGAGAAUACCAAGGCGCUUGAGAGAACUCGGGUGAAGGAACUAGGCAAAAUGGUGCCGUAACUUCGGGAGAAGG